GGGGGUGACUGGCUUCGACUUUGGUCGUUGAUACGGGAGAAGCGAGCCGUGGUCUCCGGAACCACGUUAAAGAGCCGGAACCUAUAAACAAACGCCAAGCCUCAGCUUGCGCUGGCUGCUUAACAAGUAGCCCGUUCGCCCGGCUCCAGCCCUGCGGGUCGGUAGCGGACGUCAUCCAGUAGGGCUCACCCGGCGGUCCUGUCGACAGGCCGGCGGGGACAUCUUCGUCGACUGGGGCCCUCCGCCGAUGCCGGUGGCGAGUGGAGGGCCCGAGAUCAGAUCACCGGAUGCGCUCGGAGAAGGCCCGUUGAGGCAUCGAAGGACGCGGGUUCGAUUCCCGCCACCUCCACUC
rnacentral:tmRNA from 1 species